rnacentral:rRNA from 1 species
GUGGGGAAUAUUGGACAAUGGGCGAAAGCCUGAUCCAGCCAUGCCGCGUGUGUGAAGAAGGUCUUCGGAUUGUAAAGCACUUUAAGUUGGGAGGAAGGGCAGUAAGUUAAUACCUUGCUGUUUUGACGUUACCGACAGAAUAAGCACCGGCUAACUUCGUGCCAGCAGCCGCGGUAAUACGAAGGGUGCAAGCGUUAAUCGGAAUUACUGGGCGUAAAGCGAGCGUAGGUGGUUUUGUAAGUUGGAGGUGACAUCCCCGGGCUCAACCUGGGAACUGCCUCCAAAACUGCAUGACUAGAGUACGGUAGAGGGUAGUGGAAUUUCCUGUGUAGCGGUGAAAUGCGUAGAUAUAGGAAGGAACACCAGUGGCGAAGGCGACUACCUGGACUGAUACUGACACUGAGGUGCGAAAGCGUGGGGAGCAAACAGGAUUAGAUACCCCAGUAGUCC